AGGGGAUGCUGGUGGUGAUGCUGUUGCCCUGGAGACCACACUUCGAGAGCUGCUGAGUAACACGAAGACCUGCAGCAUGAAGUGACAACAUGUGUUUGGGAAACUAAGACAACAAGCCCACACUCCUUGUCCUCAGGCGGAGAGCCUCUCUGGAGUGCUCCGAAGGGCUCCCUUUUGCCACCAGCUUCACAAAGGGAGGAUUCAGAGCCCCGAAGACCAUCUGGCACAGUGAGAGACAGAAGCUUUUUACAGUACCGGCUUUCAGUGGAUGGACAGCCCCCGGCCUGUAGCAGUGGACUUGAAUAGGUCUAACUUGAUACAAAAAAUUCCAGGUGAGCAACAGAGCAACACGUUAAAUAAAGUCAAGAUAACUGUUCAAGGAUGCAAGUCUGCCCUGCACACUGCCCCCAGCCCCCCACCUGCCCUCGGUGGAUGCUACUGCCUGGGAUAAGAAGCAGUCAGUUCUUGUCAAAGGUUUUUCUCCAGGGCAGCCCAGCAGUGGAUGCAAGCUCUCUUCUGUGGACUCGAGUGGGUGAGCAUUUGGGGAAAGUGCAUCUUGGAACUUCCCUGGCAGUCCAGUGUUAAGAUUAUGAGUGUCCUCUGUAAGGGACAUGGGUUUGAUCUCUGGUUGGUGAACUGAGAUCCCACAUGCCUUGUGGAGCGGCCAAAAAAAAAAAUGAAGAAAAAGAAAGUGCAUCUUAAUGUGUUCAUGUUCUGGAAGGCACAGUCCCCCACUUCUGUCCUGUGAAUGAUAAGUCACCCAUGUGUUUCAGGUCAAGGAGCCUAAGGCUGAGGAAUUCCUGUCUUGUACAAGAAUUGAAGCAGUCAGUUCUAUGGUUUUUCUCCAGAAUGCUCCAGAUAUUCAAAGUUCUGUUUGGGCAGCAGGCUGCCCAUGAUCUUCCUGGUUGAUAUGGAAAUGGGCUGUAAAUUCAUGAUAACAUGUCCGUCUAUGCCCCCCCCCACACACAC